CCUGAGGACACACCUGUCCAUCGGGCCAGGCCCCAGGGUGCCAAGCCUAGAGCCCAGAGCAGCAGCCCCUGCCCAGAGGUGCCACUGCGGGAGCUCUGCCCUCCUCUCGCUCCAUCCUGGAGUACCUCCAGAACAGCUCCCCAUCCUGACUCUGUGUCCUCCCACUCCUUAGAGUGGGAUGGGUUGGGGGGAGGCUGCCCUGGGGCAGCCAGACGGGCAUCGGUGUGUUGGGGCAACCUGGGUGCCCGCACUUACUUCUCCCGCUCCCGGGCAUUCUUGUACAACUUCACUUCCUGCCAGAGAGAGCAGACACUGGGGGCCAGUGCCAACAGGGGCUGUAGGGCCCCAGUGAGGCAACACAGGCAUUUGCUGUUGGCCAGUGCCAGCCAGGUGGGCACCCACCACUCACCUCAUACAGCUCUGGCUUGUUCCCAGGGGCUGCAAGAGAAGGCAGAAAGCUGGCAAGAUUCCCCAAAGAGAAUCUGAGGGUAGGCUCCAGCCCCAGCCUCCAUUUCAGGUCCCAUGCUGGGUCCCAAAGAGCCCAGAGGGAGCUGAAGCACAGGGGUCCAACCUCACCCCCAUCAGUGUGUGGAGGGACCUGAAGAUGCCUCUGGGAGGCCGGGGGCCGCAUGCCAGGCCUGGCUCCCCAGCUCCACUGUGGCUCCCUAGCUGUGCCACCUUUACAACAAUGGCCACACCCUGCUCGUGGCCUAUGACGCAGUGCCAACAAGGCUCACCGCACACAGCCUCUCCCCUGGGCUUGGUGACACAGGGUGCCCAGGACCCCCAUGGUUCUAGCCACACCAAAGCUCAUCAUCUCUGCCCAGCAGGAUCAAGCCAGCUCUCCCUGGAGGAGGUUUCAGGGCCCUCAGUGCUCUUGUGAUGAACUGCACCCACCCCUGGCCACCCACAAGGCUGUUUGGGAGCAGGGUCAGGGUAGACUUACAGACAUCCCCCACCCUGACCUCUGAAGUCCAAUACUGCCUGUCAGCCCCUCCAGGAGGGGCUGAAAGCCUGGGCCCUUCCAGUUUCUAAGCCCAGCUCUGGUCACACUCACCUCCUAUGCCCGGAGUGGCUGGGAUCCCAUGAAACAUCCUCUAGGUUCUGGAGGGGCGACAGCACUGAAUCUGAAAAAGGAAAUUAAAUAAUACUAAUGGUAGCCUGUAAUUCCUGCAUAAUAAAGUUUACUAUGUUACGUUCAACAUAAAACC